ensembl:snRNA U2 U2 spliceosomal RNA
AUCGCUUCUCGGCCUUUUGGCUAAGAUCAAGUGUACAAAUUCUCAGGUCAGUAAGUCAUAAUUAUAACUUGGGAAAAUGUGUCCUAUUUUAUUGAUAGCACAGAAGUUUAGAAUUUAUUCUUCAGUACCAUAAGGUUUAUGGGAACACAAC